rnacentral:misc_RNA from 1 species
GUGGUAUCUCUGGGGACACUACCGUUAUCCAGGCAUCCAGUCCUUCAAUGAUAGAAGGAGCUCUACCUGCCGCCUAUUGGUCCCCCUGGGUUCGAUGUUCGGUUCACCACCUCGGCAUGGAAAUCAUUUGCUGUUUCUAGGCCCUUUUGGGUUGCUUAACAACCUGGAGAAUACUUUUCAAUGAGGAAUCAUUUUUCAGUAGGCAUUGCCGUAUGGAUUCCUCUGAAACUGCUUGAAGUUUCCUUCUCCACUCUGGUUGAUGUUGCUAGGUAACAGGAUGUAGAUGGCAGCGCUACUUUCUCUAUCCGUUCCUUUUUCAGUGGGUCGGUACAAACCCAAAACCUAGGGUUCUUGGUUUUA